GAUGAAUUAGCUCAGUAGGUUAGAGCAACUGCCUGUUAAGUAGUAGGUCAAAGGUUCGAGUCCUUUAUUCAUCG
rnacentral:tRNA from 2 species